rnacentral:rRNA from 1 species
AUGAACGCUGGCGGCGUGCCUCAUACAUGCCAGUCGAGCGAACGGACGAGAAGCUUGCUUCUCUGAUGUUAGCGGCGGACGGGUGAGUAACACGUGGAUAACCUACCUAUAAGACUGGGAUAACUUCGGGAAACCGGAGCUAAUACCGGAUAAUAUUUUGAACCGCAUGGUUCAAAAGUAAAAGACGGUCUUGCUGUCACUUAUAGAUGGAUCCGCGCUGCAUUAGCUAGUUGGUAAGGUAACGGCUUACCAAGGCAACGAUGCAUAGCCGACCUGAGAGGGUGAUCGGCCACACUGGAACUGAGACACGGUCCAGACUCCUACGGGAGGCAGCAGUAGGGAAUCUUCCGCAAUGGGCGAAAGCCUGACGGAGCAACGCCGCGUGAGUGAUGAAGGUCUUCGGAUCGUAAAACUCUGUUAUUAGGGAAGAACAUAUGUGUAAGUAACUGUGCACAUCUUGACGGUACCUAAUCAGAAAGCCACGGCUAACUACGUG